ACCGGUUUUGAUGUUGAAGUGAGAGACGGCAAACUAGAGCAGACAUGAUGUGAUGAAGACUCCAUCCAUACAAUGGUGGGCGGCGCAGCCUCGCUGACAUGAUCUAAUAAAUCAUGAGUGACGGCUGUCUCCGCCGCCGCCGCCGCAGCACAGCGCACACAUUGUCCCCACAUGAGGCGGCGACCUAGCAGCCGGGAAGAGCGUGUGACGGCCAGGCGCACAUACGGCAGUGUGAGAUCCCGGAGAAAUCCACGCGACGCUUUGGAAACGUUCAUCGGAGGUCCAAAGGACGCUUCCAUCGUUUAAUUGGACGAGAGGUUCAUUGACAUCACGAGAGGUGAAAGGUCAGCGCGGGAAGACCUUUGCUGCUUCUUUUUGGUGCCAAGUUGUGUUUGAG